rnacentral:lncRNA from 1 species
CAGAGAUCGGGAAUCCUCUCAGUCCUUAGUUACAAGGCUCCAUCCUCACUUUGUUCGCUCCUCAGUCGUCCAGGCGGAUUCCUUUUUCGCCAGGCACCAAGGCACAGCUUAGAGUAGACCCGAGUCCUGCUCUGCGGAGUUCGUCUUCCCAGCGAAGGUACAGAGGCGGAUGAACUGCUGAGACUUGGGUCUGGCUCUGUCACCCAGGCUGGAGUGCAGUGGCACGAUCUUGGCUCACAACUACCUCCGCCUCCCCAGGCUUAAGCAAUCCUCCCACCUCAGCCUCCCAAGUAGCUGAAACUACAGGUGUGCGCCAUCACCCCCAGAUCAAAAGCUGAGUGAAGCAGUGGUCCAGCUGGAAUUCAACACCUGAGAUAUCUGACUCCAGAUACCAGCCCUUCCUUGCUUCCCACUAGCUGCCUAACCCAGAGAGGAGAUUGGGAAAAGAGAAACAAGUUACAGAAUUCAAGAAUCAGUGCUUGAGACAUUUUGCAGACCCUGCACUUGAUGGAUCGGCUGGCACCACCCAGAUCAAUAAACUGGCUCAUCUGAUCUUGCAGCCUCCACCCAGGAACUGACUCAGCGCAAGAAGACAGCUUCGACUCUGUAUGAGUUCAUCUCCAACCUGACCAAUCAGCACUCCCGGCUCACUGGCUUCCCCCCAUCCACCAAGUUGUCCUUAAAACUCUGCUCCCCGAAUGCUUGGGGAGACUUAUUUGAGUAAUAAUAAAACUCUGUUCUUCUGCACAGCCAGCUCCGCAUGAAAUUACUCUUUCUCUAUCGCAGUUCCCCAGUAUUGAUAAAUCGGCUCUGUCUAGGCAACCGGCAAGGUGAACUCACUAGGCAGUUAUGGCAGUACUCUUCUGCCUGGCACACUCACCUCUCAUUCCGCUUCCUUUUCUGCCUAACAUCCAGUAAUCUUUAAGUUCAUUGGCCCUUUCUCCAGGAAGCCUCCCUUG